rnacentral:lncRNA from 1 species
UUUAAAAUGACCUUCAAUAAGAUUUGUAUCAAUGUGAUUAGUUUGGAUGUAUGUUUACCUUAAUACAUCUGCUUCAUUUGUCUCAUAGCUGAGUUUAGAUUAUUAAUCCUUAUUGAGGUAAUCAACCAGGAUCUCAUCUGUAUCAUUUCAGCUGCAUUUUUGGGAUCACUUCACACUGUUUGCUUACGAUUUUUCCCCAAAGUUGUACAUUAGUUAGCCAUGAAAAACAAUCAUGUUUUAUGUGCAAAUGUUUUACAGAAAAAAAUGAUAUAAGUAUCCUCACCCUGUAUACAAUUGUACAGGCCUGAUACAAGUGAGCUGCCAUGAGGCCUUUGGCAGAGUUGUGAGGUGGAUAUAUGACUGUUUUUAUUCCAUUUGCUAAGGAAAAAAGAUGACUGCUAAAGCCCGCUCCAUCAAGGAGGCAGCUAAGAAAGUGAUCACUCCGAAAACAAAGGAAGAAAAAAACGUUACCAAAAAGCUGCCUACUUCAAAAUCAAAGGAGGGAACACCAACUGUUUCAAAAAUGGAGGCAAGACAAGCUAAAUCCAAGAUUUCUUCAAAAGUACUGCCUGAAACCUUUGUUGCUGUGCAAGUGAAAGAAGAAGUGCUUGAAGACCCAAAGGUGAGGCUUGAAACUCCACAACAUUCAGUGCCAGUGAAGGAUGAGGACAUGGAUCAAGAAGCUCCAGCACAUUCUGUGAUAAUUGGCUGCCAAAAGGAUGAAGGCAUGGAACUAGAAUCCCCAGAAAUCUCUAUAGCAGAUGAGCAGGAUGGCAGCAUGGACGUUGAAGCUGCAACAAGCCUUGAUACACAUUGCUGCUUAAAGGAUGGAGUUAAGGGACCAGUAACCCCAACAAACUCUAUUGCAAUUGCCUGUUUAAAAGAGGGGGACAUGAAAACAGAAGCAACCGUGAGCCCAGUGCUCAUUAGCUGUUUAAAAGAUGAGGAUGUGGACUAGAAGGUCAAGCAGCAUAAAUAUCAAUGAUUCUGCACAGCACUCCUUCACAAAUCAAGGAAGGUGAAUUGCUGACCUCUUUGACUGUACUCUAGCUUUUUAUGUGAUGUGAUUGGCCUAUGAAACUAUUAGAACAUAUAUUCUAUCCAUCAUGCAAAAAGGCAGGUCUACAAUGCUGCUCUGCAUACUACUAUGAAUGAAUUUCUGCAUCAUAAAACUCUGUGGAAAGGCAGUGACAUGUUACAGGGCAUUUGAAAUUUAUCUGACCACGGUAGUCAUCACUAUUUCAGUCAACCAUGGACUGCCUUCAAAGCAAGUUAUUUGGCUGAUACUCAAGAAAAGUUUUCUGCUGAAAUAAAUGGCAGAUCAGGAAAAUGGGUAAGAAAGCUGAGGAGCUCAGUGCCUUUCUAUGAAAGGACAUUUUUCCAGUAAUGCAUAUUUAAUAUGAAAGGAGCCACAUCGUUCACAAUGUCUAUCUCUGGGGAAAAGAUCCACUAAUCCCAUUCAGGGGCAGGAUUGUGUAGUGGAAAACUCUAAAAAGUAUCAAGAUUCAACAAUUGAUUUAUUGUUUCAACAGUUCAAAUAGCAGGAUACAGCAAUGGUCUCUUAUGACCAGAUUAGCCAUGUUCAAAUUUACCUAGAACUCACAGAGAAGACUGCUUAAGCAUGCACAUAUCUAUAAGGACCCCAACCCAGUAGAGGGAAUUACUUUACAUCUCAUAAGGACGCCAGAUAAGAUGGGUAUCAUUCAAAAGGUGAUGAUACUACCAGUAACAUUCAUUGAAAUGUGUUAUCUCAGCUUUGAUAUACAAGUGCCAAGAAAUGAAUUGUUAUUCUAACAAGCCGGCCGUACAUUUAAUUGUGGAAGGAGAAAAAAUAAGUCAAUCAUUUUACAUCCUUAAACCUGAAAUGUCAACAGCAGCAUAAAUUCUGAAAGUAUUUGAGAACAUGUACAAAUAAUUUAUAUAACUACAAAAAUUUUAAAAUCCUACCAUAUAAUUGAAUGAGUCAUAAAUACUCAUCAACUCAUAAAUAUUUGAGGCAGUGUUUUUUAUUUCCUGAAUGGAGGAGUUUCCCAAGACAAAAUGGGGAGAACUUAACUACUGUCAACAGAAAAAGUUCUAUGAUGCCUCAAAUUGUUUGGAAGAGUUUUUAUGAGGCCAUAAUUUUAGUUUCACCACUCUGUGCUCUAGCCCUUUGAUAAUAUUGCUUGCCUUUUCCUGUAUUAUUUCAGCUUUGCAAUGUGAUAUUUGUAAUGUUAUGACCAGAGCUAUAGGUAACAUUCCAAUUUGGUUGUAGCAUAGAUUUACCCAAAGCAUCAUUCUUCUAUAUCGAAAGAAUCAGUUUCUGUGCUUGCUAGGAAUUUUGGAAGUUGUAGUCUCAAGAUAUCUAAUUGGUACCCACUUGGAGAACAAGGCACAAUUCAGAAACAGUAUAAAUACAGCACAAACUUCACGAUUUUAAUUGGUAAAUCAGGUUUUCUUUUUAAAGCAAACAUAUGGAAAACAUGUUUAAAUCUUGCUUUUCAAGUGGACUGGUCAAUUUGUAUUGCCCUACAAUUGCCCUAUAAAUACUGUAUCUUAAGGAAAAUAAAUAUACAUAUUUUCCAAAUUAUAAUAGUUUAUAGACAAUAACUAUACUAUGUAUAAUUUUGAAUGUACUUUGUUUUUCAUGUUACAGAUUGAUCAUUGUAACUAGACAAAUAAUGUAGAUCAACAGAUAAAAGCAUAUACUGAGGUCUUCCUUUUCAAAUUUCUUAUCAUUAUGAGAAACUGAAAGUAUGUUUACAUCAAGGACUUCUCAUUCAUGCUUUACUUUUCUUGUUUUCCUUCACUCCUGAACUCGACACCUGCAUCACUCAUUUGGAGUGAGUUCCAUCCCUGAUUUCAGAUACAGUUAAGCUGGCUUGUUUGACCUGUAUAUUCCACCCUGGGCAACUUUGGCAGAUAGUGACAAGCUUCACUUUUUGGCUAUAUACAUUUAGUAGAGAGCACAAGUAAUCCCUAUUCUCAGAUUCAAGUUAUCAAACCAUCUGGAAAAUACAGGAAAAGAAGAAACCUUAUAAUUUCACCAGUUCUGAAUCUAUUUAAAGGUGGAGUUUUUGCAAGGGGAGGGGGUUGUGGGCAUUUUUUGUAUGGUUUCACAUUUGAGAUAUGAAGAAACUGUUCAUUUGUGAAAAUGGGAGCAGGAAAAAUGCUGCUUGUUUAUGAUGUUUCCAAAUAUAUUCUCAAUACAGAAUUACUGUUUUCUAGGAAAAAUGUAAAAUAUAGUUGAUCAGCUUUACAACAGAAGGUUCAUCCAUCAAUUAUAUGAGCUUGUAUAAUCACUAUUUGGCAAUCAAAGUUUAGCCUAGGCUAACAUUUUAGCAUUUAAGAUCUGUAAUUCCUUCACUGAGAAAAGUAAAUCAGAAGUCAGUUGCUAAUAAGUGAUUGAUGCAUAUUUGUAGUUUGAUUUGCUAUUCCAUUUCUUCUCCCACCAUCUACAUUUUGCAGGUAAAAAAAGUCAGCUAAUAGCAAUAGCAUUUAGACUUAUAUACCGCUUUAUAGUGCUUCACAGCCCUCUCGAAGAGGUUUACAGAGUCAGCAUAUUGCCCCCAAUAAUCUGGGUCCUCAUUUUACCCACCUCGAAAGGAUGGAAGGCUGAGUCAAGCUUGAGCCUGUGAGAUUCGAUCUGCCAAAUUGCUGUAGCAGAAGUAGCUUGCAGUACUGCACUGCGUCACCAAGGCUCUUUUUAAAUUUAAAUCUUGAGAUUUCUCUUUGGUAUUGCUAGCCCAAACCAAUUUUUCAUUGUUCAUGGGUAUGAGAUAAAAUCCAGAUAAACAAUCCCAGGUUUUCUGUUAUCUUAGCAAGGAUAUUAUACCACACCAUCCAGUUAUUCUAUUUAUUCCAGCCAUUCUACUUACACAAACAUUUGAAAUUAUAUGCAACACAAAAUUAAAAUACACAUUUAAAAACAAUUAUUCAUAUCACUAAAAUUCACAAUUAAAUUUGUAUUUUUUAGAUUAAUGAAAUAUAUGUACUUUUAGUAUUUGGUGGGGCAAAAUAUGUUUCUAUGAGGGAACAUUCUGUGACCUGUUAAUUACACAUAAGAAUUAUUCUGUUUAUCAGAUAGAUGAGACUGGCAGGAGAGGCAUCUUCAGUAGUCUGUUGUUGAAAUUGAGGUGGGCUGACAGGCUCUAAGAUGUUUUAUAUCUAGCACCUGAAUAAAAUCUGGUCUUUAUUACAAAUCAAAGAUCAGCAUAAGAAUGGGAUACAAAAUAUUAAAAAAUAUAAAAUAAUUGGGUGGAGGAGAGCAUGGCAAAUUAGACUUAUCAAAAAACAGAGCAGCCCAGAAUGGCAAACUUGGUGCUAAUUAAAACUGGUUUAUGGUACAAGUCAUCUUCGGGUGGAUUUUUAAGUGUUGCUGCAUAGAACCUGACAACGUGGCUCUGUAAUAUUGCCCCCAAAUCCAAAUUCAACUGAAAAAAAAAAUAAUGAUCAAUACUAUCAAGUCACUAGAAAACCUUAAUAACAUAGUCGCAGUAAUAUCAUUCAGUACUUAAGAUACAUCAUAAAAAGAUAAAUAAAACUCUUUUAGUGCCAUAGUUUGAGCCAAAUCCUCACUGAAAUUGAUCUUGUCAUCCAAAUAAACUUGAAAAUAGGAGGCCAUCCCCUUCUCAAUUAUCUUACCACAAAAUGAGUAUUUGUGACUAAACUAUAAUUAUGAAGAUCUCAGUUCUUAUAACUAUUCCCUUUGAAUAAAUACACAUUCAAUCAUCAAGGAUCUCUUUAUCAUGAAGCCAUUUUUUUUCUGUACCAUAUAUUGCCAAACUGGUGGUCAUUUUUCUGUGAUUACCCUACUAGUUUCUCAAAUUCCAUGUAAACAAGAAAAAAUGACACUUUCAUGAUUAUUUACUUGGAACCUGCCCCAAUACUGAAUUAUUCUUGGCUUCCUAAUAAAUGAAGGUAUUAAGAAGGAAAAUAAUAUUUAGGAUUAUCCUCUAGAUGAACUGGGACAACACCUGCAAAUCACUAACCAGCAUGUCAGAAUUAAAUUAGCAAAGUUGCAGAUCAGCACAUCUGGAGAGAUUAGAUUAGGGAUUAGAUCACGUGCAAAUUCAAUUGUUCAAUCUAAUUCUUCCAAACCUUUUGAGUUAACCUCUCCCUACCUCUACUUUUAAAAAGUUAUUGAUUUUAGAAAAAUAAUUAUUUAACAGAGAUCUGAUCACCAAGCACUUGUGUGAUUUGUGCCAAUAGUCUUGAAUAAUAUAUAUUUAUUACCAUUUAUCUGAUUCUGUAUGAAAGUGCUAAUAGGUGGUCAUUAAUAUCUUUUCUUCAUUCCAGCCUAUAUGAAAAAGGAUAAAUUUUCUAUUUUAGAAGAGGAGUACUGGGAAUUAAUGACUUACUUGCGUAAUGGGAGAAGUCAACAAUCACAGGAGAAAGGGAUAUAAUUCAAGUUGAUUAUCUCAAGAGCAGUGAAGCCAUGUAAAUUAGGUAAAUUGUACAUUCUAUUUUUCUCGAGAUACAGACUUUUAAUAUUUGGACCCAAGCCAGUGAAGGCACCAGGAGAAACCUGCCAACACAAGAUGGUAAUGAUAAGUGCAGAAGGAAUUUACAAUUAUCCCAAUCUUCUGUUUCCACUGACCCAUUGUACAGUACGUGUCCAAUAUUUGUAAGAGAAUUAGUGUAUUUAUAAUAAAUGGAG